GGUGUUGAUUCAAAAUUAGAUAGUUCACUUCGGAGAUACAUUGAUAUAUAACAUAACAACAAUGAUCUGGAGUUCCACUGAUACCGAAUCGAUUUUUUUCAACUCGAUAAGAUAAGAGCCAGGCAAAAGCUGGAAUAGUAACGUGAAGUUUUGAGAAGUGCUAUAGUGAGGAUAUCAAAAGGUUUCAAUAUUACGUAGUUUUUGUGGCCCAAGGUUUUGAUCUAGUUUCUAAAUUGAAAAUAAAAUGGAUUGGUCAAUGAACGAAACGGUACAUUUGCUGAAUUAUGUUAAGAAAGAAGAUUUGAAAGCUCAACUUCUAUAUGGAACUACCCAGGAGUACUUAAAAUUGUUGAAGAGAUUCUCAAUAUCUACAUCAUAGUAUCUUUAGUAGUUGUUGGACUUGAAACACACGCAUACUUCCUAUUUUUGGUAGCGAUGUUUGGUUUUAUUUUAACUGCCAUCUUCCUGGUGAUCUCUUUAUUAGAAUCACUGACCAGAAUGCCUUCAUCCUACUACUGGGUGGAAUCUGCUUAUGGUUUAGUUGCUGGAUUGUCUUUGAUUGUUUCAUCUACAUCACUACUUAUCACUCUGAGGAAAGAGUUUAUCUUAACUUGCGCAGUUGGAUAUUUCAAUACUUGUGUAUACAUCGCAGAUGCACUGAAUAAAUAUCGUUUGGCAGUCACUCCAACAGAAAAAAUGUAUUGGUCAAGGCCAGUUAGACAUCUUCAAGAAUUCAAUUGUGUUGAUCGAUGAUCUAGAAUUAAAUUAACUCGAGAACACUAAUCUAGUACCCAUUAUACAUUUUCAGUAUAAUAUUCUUAUAUUUCAAUUGAAAAAGUGUAGUAAGAUAUCAACAUGUAAUCAAGGAUUUCUGUUGAGAAAACUGUUGAGAUUCAACAUUUGCAUAAUGUAUUUAGUUUUCUAUGAACGAUUCAAUAAGGGGAACUGUAUAAUAUUCCUUAUCAAAAAUAUUCUAUAAUAGAAACCUGUAUUCUCAUAUACCACUCAAAAGCGUUAUCUGUUCGAAAUAUUGACGGAAGUUAACCUUGAUAAUGGCCUAUGUGUAAUGCGGUUUAUUUUAAGAUUUGAUACAUACCUCUUCUUCUGCGCUGAAAGCAUCAAUAACAUAGUUCAAGGAAAAACCGAUGUCGACUAACUUCAUAAUAUGCAAUGUGAUUAGGAAUAGUUAUAACUUUUAUACAUGAUUUGUUGCAAAACUAAGUUAUAAAUCGGUAUAUUUUUUUGUAAUUGUGCUACUUACUCAGAGAUGGUGUUCCAAACUGGAUAUUUCAGAACCUUCUCAGGAACCCUGAAAGUUUUUGAAUUCAUUUUCAGUUCCAUAGGAAUGGUCCUUACAAUACUUUUCAAUAAAUACUCGGAUCUGUAUUUCCCCAUUUCCCGGACAUACACAGUGUUAUCAGCUAUAGCUUUAGGAGUAACGCUGUUUUUGAUAAUAGUUUAUUUUGUAAAUAUGGGUGAAGCCCUCAAAUCCAUAUUACAGUAUCAGAAAUACUUUCAUCUCAUAUUUAUGAUGUUUAUCCUUUCUUAUUCAUCCAUAAUGUUGUAUAAUGGAUCGUCAUACAUUCAACUGGUGUUGGCGGGGACGAGUGGAGUUCUUCUCGCUAUCACUUUCCUGGUCGAUGGAAUAAAUGGAUUCCACGCUGAUACCAUAACCGUAGUAACAGUUUGAGAAUGUUGCCAUAAAUUUCGAUUUUCAAAACUUCUGUUGGAGGAGAUGAAGAUGAGGAUUUUUUCAUCGCUACGAGAACUAAUUAAAUCAAGAAAGUGGCGUUUUUUUGGAAAAUGUGAUUUUAUUGAUUAUUGUCACGAUAUCCAUUCUGUUUUCGUUUCGAAUAUUUUGUAAGGAAAAGUUCAAUAAAUUUUUUAAAUGUAUUUACAAAGGACCCUUACAAUAUAUUAAUUCUUGACCAGG